UGAUGAUUGAAAUAUGAUGAGUAUGCGAAAUGUUGAUUAAGGUGAAAACAAUAAGAUCCAACUCUGAUUUCAUCAAAA
rnacentral:snoRNA from 1 species